rnacentral:miRNA from 14 species
ACAGGCCGGCAGGUUUGAGC